GUGGGAUUCGUGUUGUUUGUUCUUUAGUUUUCUAUGUUGUGUCAUGUGUGCUGUUGUUUGUCUGUUUGUCUUUUUCAUUUUUAUCCAUGGCGUUGUCAGUUUACUUUCGAUUUAUGAGUUUGACUGUCCCUUUGGUAUCUUUCGUCCCUCUUUCAUACAACUGUGCGGUUUACCUAGGUAUAAAACUAUGCCAUUUUCUACAUACUAAAAUGACUGUCACAAGUCAGUAAUAGCAUAGAUGUAUUAAAUUCUUUUAAUGUGUUUGAACUUUUAAUUUUUUAUUUUGAUAAGUGAAUUUCUAUUUUGAAUUUUCCUUGUAGAUCGGUUUUUUUUUGUUUUUUUUUUUUACAUUUUAUUAGUUGGAACCCUUGGCUUACUAUUUUUAAGUAAGCUGGAAACGCCUGUCAGGUAAAACAUAAUACAUAAUGCAUGAAGAAAUGUGGUACAUUAUGUAUUAACUGGGAAAUAUAAACUUCACAUUGAGGCGAUGCUGAAUGAUACUAAAGUGGUAUGAAAAGUUCAUGAAAGGGAAACUCAAAUUGUAUCGUAAAGUUGUGUUCUCAACCGACUCUCAGUUGCAAUCUCAAGUUGUUAAUAUAUAUAAGAUGGUGUGUUAGGGGUACACUGGAACUUCAAUCAGUGUUUUGGAUACGUAAACCUCAUAAGAGUCCCAACAAACAACGGUAUAUUGCUGGGUCUCCCAACUGCUCCAUGAAAAUUCUUUCUAAAUUAUAAACAUUAAUUUUAUCCGCUAUAAAAGCCAGCUUCAAAAUUAUUGUGAAACUACCUAUUCUAGAGGUUGCAUGAAUCAGGGACUAGAGGGGCGAAAGAUACUAGAGUGGCAGACAAGCUCAUAGAUCGAAAAUACACUGACAACGCCAUGGCUCAAAAUCAAAAAGACAAACAGACAAAUAAUAGAUCCAAAUAUCAAAAAGAAGAUGUGGUAUGAUUUCCAAUGAAACAACUAUCCACAAAAGACCAAAAUGACACAGACAUUAAC
rnacentral:lncRNA from 1 species